CCUCAUUGAGACCGAAGUCUUGUUCCUUGUAGAAGACAGCAAGCCACCAACCAUUCUCCAUAAUAUAUGAUUUGGAGAAGAAUAUCAAUCCCCAGAUAAGAAACAAGUGAGCAAGUAGAAAAUGGCAGGAUAGAAGGAUGGACUAAUGCAUUGUGCAUUAUAACACAGUCUCUGAAUUCUGGUGCUGCAGCUUCAGUCUGCCUCCUAUGGAAACGCUAUGAAAUAAAGCAUCCAACUUCAUCACAACACAUUGGCCGAACUAAUAUCCACAGAUUUUCACACAACACAAUAAUGAGAAGUUACAAGUCACGUCGUCGAAAAAGGUUACACUUAACAAUCCGCGCAACUGCACUUUGUUAUCUUAAUCACAUUUGGAACAGAGCAGAG